rnacentral:rRNA from 1 species
UACAGAGGGUGGCGAGCGUUAAUCGGAAUUACUGGGCGUAAAGCGCGCGUAGGCGGCUUUGCAAGUCGGGUGUGAAAUCCCCAGGCUUAACCUGGGAACUGCAUUCGAGACUGCAUUGCUAGAGUAUGGGAGAGGGAAGUGGAAUUUCCGGUGUAGCGGUGAAAUGCGUAGAGAUCAGGAGGAACACCCAUGGCGAAGGCAGCUCUCUGGUCGACCUCUGACGUGAGACGCGAAAGCGUGGGGAGCGAACGGG